rnacentral:rRNA from 1 species
UACAGAGGGGGCAAGCGUUGUCCGGAAUUAUUGGGCGUAAAGAGCUCGUAGGCGGUGUGUCGCGUCGGUCGUGAAAACUUGGGGCUUAACCCUGAGCUUGCGGUCGAUACGGGCAUCACUGGAGUUCGGCAGGGGAGACUGGAAUUCCUGGUGUAGCGGUGAAAUGCGCAGAUAUCAGGAGGAACACCGGUGGCGAAGGCGGGAUCCUGGGCCAGUACUGACGCUGAGGAGCGAAAGCGUGGGGAGCAAACAGG